rnacentral:rRNA from 1 species
GGGGGGGGGGGGCGGGGGGGCUGGGGCGGGGAGGUGGGGGGGGCGGGCGGGGCGCGGGCUCGGCUGACGUUGGCGUCGGACGGGUGGGUAACCCGUGGAGACCCGCCCUAUCGGGCUUGGCUCACUUCGUGAAACCGGAGCUAAUCCCAUAUCCUAUAUUGAACCGAAUUUUUCCGUAGUAAAAUACGGUUUUGCUGUCACUUCUCGAUCGAUCCGCUCCUCCUUAGCUAUUUGGUAAGUUACCGGCUUACCACUGCAACGAUGCGUCGCCGACCUGAGAGGGUGAUAGGCCACACUGGAACUGAUACACGGUCCAGACUCCUACGGGAGGCAGCAGUAGGGAAUCUUACGCAAUGGGCGAAAGCCUGACGGAGCAACGCCGCGUGAGUGAUGAAGGUCUUCGGAUCGUAAAACUCUGUUAUUAGGGAAGAACAAAUGUGUAAGUAACUAUGCACGUCUUGACGGUACCUAAUCAGAAAGCCACGGCUAACUACGUG